AUACCAGGCACACAUCUACGCACAACAAGAGGCAGCAUCCUUAACAGCAGUCCUCACUGCAGCAUCCAUAAAGGCAGACAGUCCUCAUCCCAGCAUCCGAACUCUCAGGCAUCCAUUACUUCAGGCCUCAUACCAGCAUCCAUAAAACCAGACAGUCCUCAUACCAGCAUCCAUUAAAGCAGACAGACUUCAUUCCAGCAUCCUAACUCCAGCAUGGCUUCUGAAAUGU